AAUAAAUAAAAAGUACGUUUAGAAAAAUUUGCAUAUUAAUAUUUGAUUAUAAUGACUUCAAGAGGCUCGCUUAGAAAAAUCCAAUCAAAAUGUUCGUAGCCCUUCAACCGAUCUACAAAGAGGGUAUUACCGGAGACAAGCGACUUUAAAACGAUAACAAAUAGGUGAGACAUCAGCAAACAGACAAAAAACGAAUUUGAAAUGAAAACCAAUGCCGAGCUCAUUACUCAUGCGCACUGGAUGACGUCGUUUUUGUGAGCCCAAAGGGGCUUUUGACCAAGCCCCAGCUCGAUUGCUCCCCAAGAUCCCCCAUCUUCAGCGCCACUUCUUAACCUGCUCCACUGCAGCCGAGUUGCAAUGACGGGGCAUUAAAAAAUGUGAGCGAGCCGUGAAAAAUCGCAGCUAGUCGUCAUGACUAGCAGCCAAGUAGCGCUGACUAAGUGGACGUGCGAGUAACUAACAAGAGCCUUUUUUGCGGUUUUCUGCUACCGAAGUUGGGUGUUGAAGUUUAUUGUAGGGAAAUUAAGCGGAAGACACGUUGGCAGCCACUUGAAAUUGAUAUGAUUGGAAAUUGCAUCGCUAAUGAGCCUAAUUGAUUUGCUUGUGGCUUCGGCUGAGUUAGAGUUGAGAGGAAAUGUACAAAGGCAAAUAAAGAGAAAAAAAUAUAUAUCCAUGAUAGUUCACCAUUUUAAGUUCAGGAAUUUAUUAUAAUGUAAAAGUUAAAUUGGCA